GGGACCAUGCUUGUCCUGCCUCGGCUCCGCUCCAGCCUGGGGAUCCCUUUGGGUGUUGCUGUUAAAGAGAGGCCAUGCUAACCUCUGCCUUUUGCCAGCCCAUCGCAGACAUAUCCCGUUUCCAACCUGUUCUGGAGGGUUUUGCCUGAUGGACUUCUUAAUUGCUCCUACCGACGGAGCCACCAUCACAUCCCUGCGAAGCCUUUUCUUCUGUGCCCUGAGGACCCAGAUUGUUUAAAUGUCAAAAAAAAGCCCAGGAAGCUGGAAUAUCUACUUUGAUCCCUAAAUCCAUUUUUGAGAAAUUAAGAGAAGCAAAGAACCAGGGUCUGAACUGUUGCCUGGAUGCUGAUAUGUUAAAAGUGAUCAACGACUUUGGAUUCAUUCAUUUUUACAGGGAGAAUUAUAAAAGGCAAGAGAAAAUCAUCACUGCUAAGGACAAGAUCAGCCCCUGACCUGCACUGAGAGGCACAGGGAUCCUGCAGGGACCACGCGGAGGACAGUCUGCUGAUAAACACCUGUGCAGACGUGGCCAAACCUGGAGGAUCAGGUUUGCUGACUCUUUGGGGAUCUGGAAGGCACACCUGAAUGGCAAUGAGAGCUCACAGUUCCCUCUGCAACUGGAAAAUAGCCACGACGUCCAGAUUGUGGUGAAUUCACAACCCUCCCCUAACAAGCACAAUUGCUCAACGUGAAACAGCCGGGCUAGCACCGAGAGCCCUUGCUCCGAGGCACCUCACCUGGGCCACUAGCAGCAAUUCAAUCUCUACCAGAUGCUCACAGGACUCUUCUCUGAACAGGACAAGUUUCUGGGAGAGGUUUGUGCAAUACUCUGAUGACAAAGAGCUGCGGAUCAGCUCUCAGGGUGCUGUAGGGGAGAGGGGGGUGCACAAUCCCAGCAAGGAUCUUGCAGGCGUUAUCAGUCAUCGCUGCCCUUCCCAGCAAGGCUGGCAGGUGCAGAGUGACUGCUUCUCUCAGAGGAGGGUGAAGGGACCUCGCGUCCCUGCCACGGGAGAGCUAUUUAGGGGCCUGGAACCGUCUGGGGCUGGCAGCUGGUGCCGAGGUGGGCGACAGCUGAGCGUGGCUUUCGCUUCAGAUCUGCAAGGCCCCUUUUCACACAUCUAUUUCUGACCCUAUAAAACACAAUCUGCCAGGGUGUGAGCAUGUGGGGGGCAUCCAGAAAAGAUGGUUGCACGGGUCUGGCUUGCCCAAGGCAGUAGACAGCUCAGCCUUUCUGUGUGUCCCUGCAGGUGCCUCUGAACUGUAGCUGGGAAGUCGCAGAGACACUGCCCUUUAACCUGUCUGCAGAGGAGAUCUGCACUGGUGGUAAUCUGAAUAACUGUAGCCUGCAUUAAUACCUGUAGCCCUGUCAGCAGCCAAACUAGCAAGGCGUGGUGUCCUGCACACCUCUUAUGCCGAUUCCCUGAGGCUUAAUUGAAGUGUCCAGUUAAAAAUAGCAAGAGCCUCAUGUAACCUGAGAUGAGCCCUAAAUACUUUUCCUCCCAGCUCUCUAGUUGCACUGUUAAGACACGGGGCUUUACUUGUCUUCCUUCCUCAGUCCUGCUACCUACAGCUAACACAGUAAUGAGGGACAGGGAGCCCAUUUCACACCAGGCUGUGACAAGAUGGUAGCACCAAAGGUUUCUUCCACAAGCUAGUCAUCACUAACUGCCAGGAAAUACCUGAUCUAAGGUUGAUCUAAGGUUUUUUCCACUGCAAAAUUCCCCCCAAAAUAUACAGAGGAGAAGUAGCCUUUUCACGUACAGUGAAAAUUUAGAAGUGGAGCUGCAGGCUACCAUGGAGACAGGGCUCUGUUUGCAAUCUUCUCAUCUUUUAUUGUCUCUCCUCCCCUCCUAAGCAGCUGAAAAGCAGCCAGGAGCCACUCUGUGCAAGGCCCUACCCUUUACUGCCUCCCAUCCUCUGGCUGGAUGAUGCUGCCCAGCCUGCCCACCCUCCCGGCUGGUAGGUAAGUGCUUGGGAGGUGCAGCUGGCUCCACUCUCUUUCUGCUGCCUGCUCCUUCAGCUCCUCUAGGCUUUUGGCACCUCCUUUGUAUAUCUGGGGUUCGGGAAGCAGAUCCAUGCUGCUUCUUUCUCAGCCCUGCCAGGCCUAGGGCCUCCAUCCAGUUCAUGUGCAACAUGAGUGCUUGCAGAGCCUGCGGCAAUUGCUGCUCUCUGCACCUACCUUCUGCUAUCUCUCUGGCUUUCCUCUCUUUGAUGAUGGGCAGUUCAGGAAGGAUAUUAGCAGCCAGAGGCUGAGAUGAUGCUGGUUCUCCUAGAACAUACUCUUAAAGGGAGAAUUUGCUGUAGUAGGAGUGGAGCCCAGCAUGGUGCAUGAGAUGGAGAGACAGGAAUGAAAGUGAAGAGGGAGAGAGCAGGUGGAAAGAAAGAAAGA